rnacentral:rRNA from 1 species
UCAGGCCUAACACAUGCAAGUCGAGGGGCAGCACGAGGUAGCAAUACUUUGGUGGCGACCGGCGCACGGGUGUGUAACGCGUAUGCAACCUACCUAUAAUUGGGGGAUAGCCUUCUGAAAAGGAGAUUAACACCGCAUAAGACAAUAGCUUCGCAUGGAGUAGUUGUUAAAUAUUUAUAGAUUAUAGAUGGGCAUGCGUCUGAUUAGAUAGUUGGUAGGGUAACGGCCUACCAAGUCUGCGAUCAGUAGGGGUUCUGAGAGGAAGGUCCCCCACACCGGAACUGAGACACGGUCCGGACUCCUACGGGAGGCAGCAGUGAGGAAUAUUGGUCAAUGGGCGAGAGCCUAAAGGAGCCAAGUCGCGUGAAGGAAGAAUGUCC